GAUGAACGCUAGCGGCAGGCCUAACACAUGCAAGUCGAGGGGUAGAGUAGCAAUACUUUAGACCGGCGCACGGGUGCGUAACGCGUAUGCAACCUUCCUAUAACUGGGGCAUAGCUCGGCGAACGUCGAAUUAAUACCCCAUAAGAUCACGAGAUGGCAUCUGAUUGUGAUUAAAGCUCCGGCGGUUAUAGAUGGGCAUGCGUAUCAUUAGCUAGUUGGCGAGGUAAUGGCUCACCAAGGCUACGAUGAUUAGGGGGUCUGAGAGGAUGAUCCCCCACACUGGAACUGAGACACGGUCCAGACUCCUACGGGAGGCAGCAGUGAGGAAUAUUGGUCAAUGGGGGCAACCCUGAACCAGCCAUGCCGCGUGAAGGAUGAAGGCCCUACGGGUUGUAAACUUCUUUUAUUUGGGAAGAAAUGUGAGUACGUGUACUUACUUGACGGUACCAAAGGAAUAAGCAUCGGCUAACUCCGUGCCAGCAGCCGCAGUAA
rnacentral:rRNA from 1 species